rnacentral:ncRNA from 1 species
GUAUUUCACUAGGGGAGUCUAACGACUGAGAUGGAACUUUACGUUUCCGGACCCUUGGAACCUGAUCUGGAUUAUACCAGCGGAGGGAAGUGGAACGAAAUCUUC